rnacentral:rRNA from 1 species
AUUAUUAUUUAUAUACUAUAAAUUUAUUUAUAUCACAAUAUUUAAGGUGAUAUAUUGAAAAAAGGUAUAUGAAAAUAAUAUUAUUUUAAGGAUCUAAAACUAAUACUUUAAAUGAUAAAAAGGGGUAAACCCAUUCAAAUCAUGAAAAUGAAGGAUAUAAAUCAAGUGGAAUGAAACAUCUGAGUAACUUGAAAGUAACCAACAGGGGCAGUAUGUGUAGCGGUGAGUGAAAGUACUGUAGUCUUUAAGUAUCAUCAAGAGGUGAGAAUAUAGUAGAUUCUACUACUAAGACGAUAAAGAAGUAUUAAGUAAAAAGUACCGAAAGGGAAAAGGAGUAAAUAGAAUAAUAGAGAGCAGUCAUAGUAUGGCGUACCUCUUGUAUAAUGGGCCAGUGAGUUAUAUGCAUUAGCGGAGUAAUUUAUAAAUAAAUUGAGUUUAUCAAUCUAGAGUUAAUGUGUAUAGGCCCGAAAGCAGACGAUUUACACAUCUCCAAGUAUAUUUAUUAUUAUAUUUUUAUAAUAAAAGUAUGACUGAAUAGGUGGAUGUAGCAAUAUCCUCUAAAGAGGGGUGUGUAGGAGUGACAGACAAAUCUGGUUUGCCGAUAGCUGGUUUUCUGCGAAAUAUAUAUUAGUAUAGCCUUUACAAGGAGGUUUAUUAUUUAAAUAAUAAACUUCAAGUAUUAACUGGUACAGCACUUAGAUCGUUUUGGGGGAUUAUAAUAUAAUUUUAUCAAAAGAUCUAAACCUCGGAACAGUAAACCAUAAAGUAAGGAGUCAGACUUAUUGCGAUAAGGUAGUAGGUCGAAAAGGAAACAACCUAGACUAUUAAAUGUAUGUCCCAUAAAUAUAUUAAGUGAACAAAAUCUAUUUUUAUUUUAAAUUUUUAAAAUAUGUUUUACUAAGUAAAACACUAUAGAUAGACAAUCAGUCAGCGGGUUUGACAAUAAUCAACUGUUAAGGGACAUGUAACAAUGUACUGAUGUGACAUAGAAAAUAGAGAAAAUAUACGGGUCUAAAUAUAUUACAGAAUAAUAGAUGAGAGGAAAACCUCUUAUGGUAGCAGAAUAUAUGAUUUAUAAUCAUAAAGAUAUUGCUGGCUUGAGUAACGAUAGGUAGUAUAAGACUACCCUCCAAUUCAUAAGGUUUUACUAUAAACUAACGGUCCCUAAGACGAGAACAGAAAUGUUUAGUCGAUGGGAGAUAGAACAUGAAAAGAAUGAUGAACCGUACUGUAGACCGACACAGGUAUGAUAAUAGGAGAAUGAGACAACUACUGUGAAUGAACUCGGCAAAUUAGCAUAAAGCUUUUAGUCGUGCGACUGUUUACCAAAAACAUAGCUUACUGCGUACUAGCAAUAGUAAGUAUAGUAAGUGAUAUCUGCCCGGUGUACGCCUAAUAUAAUAAUUGUAUGAAAGUACAAUCAUUGAAAAGGUGUGUUAACGGCGGUCUUAUUGUGAGGAUCCGAAGGUAGCGAAAUUCAUUGACGCAUAAUUGGUGUCCUGCAUGAAUGAAUACACGAUGCGACAACUGUAUCCAUAGUAGACUCAGUGAAAUAGCACUCGCGGUGAAGAUGCCGUGUACCCGUAGAUUGACAAAAAGACCCUAUGCAGCUUUACUAUAUCUUUAUAUUGAAUUCGACAACUAUUUAUUUCAGUAGAUUAGGUUUUUAGUAAUAAAGUAAAUGAGAUACCUAUAUAUUUAGUAAUAGAUUCUAAUCUAUAUAUAUAAUAUAAUAUAUUAUAUUCUAUUUUAUUUUAAAAUAGAACUAAGAGACAGUGUAAAGAGGUUAGUUUCGAUGGGGCGUCGACAUCAGCGAAAGCAUCUGAUGUGUCUAAAAAUUUUUUAUUUUAUUAAUUUUAUUAUAUAAUAGUAAGAAGACGUACAAAAGUUCUAUAUAGCAAAUAGAAUUGUCCCUUUUUAAGGGAUUGCAUAUGCAAGGAUAACAACAUAAUUGUGCGAUGAUAAUGACACUUACAAGUGGAAUUAGUACUUAAGUAGAGUGUAGUGAACAGGCAUAAACAUAAGAUAUGGAUGUCGAUAACGGAUUAAAGUUACGCUAGGGAUAACAGGGUAAUACCGCGUGAGAGUUGAUAUCGUCAGCGGUGUUUGCCACCUCGAUGUCGUCUAGACUCGUCCUCCUGGUCGCAGCAACUAGGUAGGGUAGGACUGUUCGUCCUCUAAGGAGUUACUUGAGAUGGGUUAAUUACGACGUGAGUCAGUAAUGAUUUUAUCAUCUAUGGGUUUUUCUCUUAUUCGUUGCUUCGAGUGUACGAAAGGAUAACGAAGUGUUUUCCUAUGGUUUUUUGUAUAUUAUUUUUAUAUAUACAUAUUAGCUAAGAAAAUUGUGGAUACAUAUUGAAUGCUUCUCAAAUAUUAAACCCUACGAAUAAGUUUAAUCAUACUAUAUUAGUAUGUAAUAGUUUUAUUAUAUUUAUAUAAUAUAUACUAAUUAAUUAUUUCAUAUACCAUGCAAUAUUCCCCCCCUUAUAUACUUUGU